rnacentral:lncRNA from 1 species
UUUAUGCAGAAGUUCAAUGAAGUUGCUGAAUCCGAAGUAGAGAAAGAAGAGAGCAAAGAUGCCUCUGACGCAGCUGGUCUUCUUGAGAAGUUGACCGUGGAAGAGACGAAAACAGAGGAGAAACCUGUGGAGAAGGUAAAGACCGAAGUGGAACCAGAGGAAAAGACAAAAACCGAGCCAGAGAAAGCUGAUGAAGAAAAGAAAACCGAAGAGGCUGUUGCUCCCUCAACUUAAGAUGCAUCAAUGUUUAAGCUCCUUUGGCGAGGUAUUAUUAUAGC